UAGGGAAUCUUCGGCAAUGGGGGGAACCCUGACCGAGCAACGCCGCGUGAGUGAAGAAGGAUUUCGGUUCGUAAAACUCUGUUGUUAGAGAAGAACAGCGCAUAGAGUAACUGUUAUGCGUGUGACGGUAUCUAACCAGAAAGCCACGGCUAACUACGUGCCAGCAGCCGCGGUAAUACGUAGGUGGCAAGCGUUGUCCGGAUUUAUUGGGCGUAAAGCGAGCGCAGGCGGUCAAUUAAGUCUGAUGUGAAAGCCCCCGGCUCAACCGGGGAGGGUCAUUGGAAACUGGUUGACUUGAGUGGAGAAGAGGAGAGUGGAAUUCCAUGUGUAGCGGUGAAAUGCGUAGAUAUAUGGAGGAACACCAGUGGCGAAGGCGACUCUCUGGUCUGUAACUGACGCUGAGGCUCGAAAGCGUGGGUAGCAAACAGG
rnacentral:rRNA from 1 species